GGCCAGCACUUUAAAAUCCUCAGAUAUGUCCCAUUCUCCUGUUCUGGUUAGGAGGCAAGAAGCCAUGUCAAAAGGAAAUUAUUGUGUGAGAGUUCACAAAAAUCCUAAAGAUAUAUCUUUGAUAAGAGUGGAGGAAGAAGAGAGAAAAGAUGAGUCACAUUCUCAUGUUUGGUAUUUCCAAUUGCUGACAGAAGACUGAAGAAAUUUGUCUUUCAUACUCAAAGGACUUAGUGAGGACUGCAGAACACUGUACUGCUGGUAAGUUGUACUAUGCCAUAGUCAUGAUCUUUUAAAAUAAAAACAUUAUUUCUAGAGCA
rnacentral:lncRNA from 1 species